UAUAAUUAUACUAAAUCGGUUUUACAGAUUGAAGGUAUCAAUUCGUCACCUUAAAAAUCGAUUAUCGUCUUCACCUUUUCUCUAUUGAACAACGCCAGAUUUCAACAACAACCGUUCCAUUCCAUCGGAAUUGAUUCAAGCAACUAAAUAUACCGAUUUGGUAACAGUUUUCGUCACGUAUUAUAAUGAAGUUGAUGUUUUUAAUUAGUUCCCUAUGUUAUUUUAUAUUACUGUAUGUAUUUUCUACAAAUGCCGACGUCCGGUGUGGCCAGGAUUGUUUUCCAAGUACCGAUUUAUCCUACCCCGAGUACUGUAUUAGUAACCCUGAAAAAAAAAAUAUAUGUAAAGGAAAACCAGGAUGUUCAUGUUGUUGCCACUAACUAAAAUUCAUUUUUAAAAAUACAUCUUUAUAAAUAAUAGGUAAAUAAAAUAUAAUUAAUUUCCAAAAAUUAAAAUAUUUCAAUUCCUUUAUACAUUAUUAGUGCAACUCCUUUUACUCAAUUAAUAGAUCCUGUAUUUCACAUUAAAAAAUCUUUACCAAACUGACAAAAUUAAUUACUUAAAUAAUAUUAUAAGAGAGUGAGAUUUGUUGAUACAAUUUGAAAACUUUUAUUAUUUUUAUAAUGGCGGUAAAUAUAUUUUUUAGGGUUACAUCUUAUUCAGUAGCCAAUUUUGACUAAUAAUUAUAUUUAUUUUUUUUUCACACAAUAUAUAGUAUUAAAUUUGUUCAUUUAAAAUGUUACAACUAGCAUCAUGGUGUGGUAUGUAGUUACAUUCUAUGGGUUAAUUGUUACACUAUAGAUUACGUGUAAAUGCUUACUUUAAUCAUGUACCGAUAUAGCGAAAAAUAGGUUGUAUUUAACAAAUUGUAAUCAAUUGUAAUGGCUUAAAAAUCCAAUGUACAAAUGUUUUAAAAACCUUGUGUUAUUUUUUUUAAUAAAUAUUAAUUUAGCAAACGAACAACUGUCUAAUACUUUUUCAAAAUUAACAUUUUAACAAUCUUGUAACGGUUAAACCUUCUUUUAUCAGGUUUAAUUACAAAUUUUAUACUCUCUCCCUCUUCUAACCGUAUUAUUUAUCUAGAUAAAUUAUAUGGUUCUAUACAUUUUUUAUCUAAAUUGGGUAAAUAUAUAAAAAAAAAUUUCGUUGAUCACGCACAAUGCCUGUAUGUAAUAGAACGUUAAAUUUAUUUUAAUUUUAAUAAUUUGUAAAACUUAUUUUAAACUUUUCAUUGUUAUAACUAUUUAUCUGAGAAAAUGUAAUUAGCAGUGGCAUGAAAGUAAUAAAAAUGUAUUUCGGCAAAAAUAAUUCCGAGAGGCCAGAAUAGCUAAACACAGGCCAUUUCAUUCCCAAAGUUAUGGUUAUCAUAGAUUUUUAUAUCUGUAAUCAAGUACUUGUUCGGUUUGGAAAUUAAACAUUCGCCCCAAAAUUUAUCCAAACUGAGUUAGCUGCACGUAUAACUUUUAAAAGAAGAAUCAGACCAAGGUCCGACUUUAACAUAGGAUUCGGCAUCACUGGUAAUAGGUACUUACACUUUUCCUUUACUAUCAUUUAUCUGACAUAGAAAAUAAAAUGCCGCGUUUUAUAAAAAGGUGAAUAAUUAUUUAAACACAUGUCUGUAAAUAAUGCUCCCUACUAAUAAAAUUACAUUAUCAUUUAGGUAUAUUCGAUGAUUUAUUUUUUUGUUACGAAACAUAAACACGUAAUCUACAUUGAAAACUAUAAUUCUACUGAACCAGUUUUACAAAGAGACGGUACCUAUCCAUCAACUCGUGUCCUCGAACAGCAAUUAUCGUCUCCGAAAUUUCUCCAUUGACCAGCGCCAAACUUCAAUCAACAUCCGUUCAAUUCGAUCGGAAUUGAUUUAGGCAACUGAAUACACUAAUUUGGUAAAAUUAUUCGUCAAGUGUUAUAAUAAAGUUGACGUUUAUAAUUAGUUUCCUAUUUUAUAUUAUAUCACUGUAUGUAUUUUCAACGAAUGGCGAAGGCUAUUGUGGCCCAGAUUGUAGUCCGGAUAUCGAAGAUUCUAACGGUGAUCUCUGUUAUUAUAACCCUGAUAAACCAAAUAUAUGUCCUGGAAAAAGAGGGUGUUUAUGUUGUUGCGCUCCUAAAUAACUGUGUUAAAAAUACUAACUUAUUAAAUUAUAAUUCAAAAAAUGUGUAUAAUUUUCAAUAACUGUAUCCUACUUGUAUGUAAGUAC